rnacentral:rRNA from 1 species
UACUCCUACGGGAGGCAGCAGUGGGGAAUUUUGGACAAUGGGGGCAACCCUGAUCCAGCAAUGCCGCGUGUGUGAAGAAGGCCUUCGGGUUGUAAAGCACUUUUGUCCGGAAAGAAAUCCUCUGCCCUAAUAUGGCGGGGGGAUGACGGUACCGGAAGAAUAAGCACCGGCUAACUACGUGCCAGCAGCCGCGGUAAUACGUAGGGUGCAAGCGUUAAUCGGAAUUACUGGGCGUAAAGCGUGCGCAGGCGGUUCGCUAAGACAGAUGUGAAAUCCCCGGGCUUAACCUGGGAACUGCAUUUGUGACUGGCGGGCUAGAGUAUGGCAGAGGGGGGUAGAAUUCCACGUGUAGCAGUGAAAUGCGUAGAGAUGUGGAGGAAUACCGAUGGCGAAGGCAGCCCCCUGGGCCAAUACUG